rnacentral:lncRNA from 1 species
ACUUGAUUUACUGUAUGGUUUAAAAUAUCAAAUCUUUUAGUAUUGUGUUUCCAAGAAUAAUUUUUAAUUUUUUUCCUUUUUUUUUUUCACAGAGGCGAAGAGUAUAAUCAUGUUGACAAACUUAAUGAGCUUGGAAUCACAGAGGAUUCAGUUCUACAGUUCUCUCUGUCAUCAUUUGAUAAUGAGAAACCAAAUCCAAGUCUUUUGUUCCAAAAAGAUGUCAGACCCUCAGUGAAGCAAACAGAGAAAGGCCUAAGUGUAUUUCUGUCAACGCUGUAUGCCAUUAAACAUAAACACUGUGGAGACGAAUUUAAGAAAGUGGUGGCAUAUAUUAGGAGACUGAGUGGAUGCAACGCUU